rnacentral:rRNA from 1 species
AUUGAACGCUGGCGGCAGGCCUAACACAUGCAAGUCGAACGAGUGGCGGACGGGUGAGUAAUGUCUGGGAAAGUGCCUGAUGGAGGGGGAUAACUACUGGAAACGGUAGCUAAUACCGCUAACCAUCGUCUGUGCCCAGAUGGGAUUGUCUAGUAGGUGGGGUAAAGGCUCACCUGGGGGACGAUCCCUAGCUGGGCUGAGAGGAUGACAGGCCACACUGGAACUUGGACACGGUCCAGACUCCUACGGGAGGCAGCAGUGGUGAAUUUUGCACAAUGGGCGCAAGCCUGAUGCAGCCAUGCCGCGUGUAUGAAGAGGGCCUUCGGGUUGUAAAGUACUUUCAGCGGGUAGGCGUUACCCGCAGAAGAAGCACCGGCUAACUCCGUGCCAGCAGCCGCGGUAAUUC